rnacentral:rRNA from 1 species
CACGUAGGGCGCGAGCGUUGUCCGGAAUUAUUGGGCGUAAAGAGCUCGUAGGCGGUUUGUUGCGUCGGCUGUGAAAUCCCGAGGCUCAACCUCGGGUCUGCAGUCGAUACGAGCAAACUAGAGUGUUGCAGGGGAGACUGGAAUUCCUGGUGUAGCGGUGAAAUGCGCAGAUAUCAGGAGGAACACCGGUGGCGAAGGCGGGUCUCUGGGCAACAACUGACGCUGAGGAGCGAAGGCGUGGGGAGCGAACAGG